CAUACCCCCUACCCUAUUAGUAAUCAGUGGGGGAAGAUAUAAAAUGACAACCAGGAUGGUAUGUGUCACGAGUCCCGCCCCUUCCGACUGGUCACUUCCCGCUUUCAGUCACUCGCCGGCAGGUAUGUGGAUGACAGCUCGCCUGUGUACGGGUUGCUUCAUUGGGAAAGCUCAUGUUUUGUAUGUUUGUCUAGUGUUGCGUCUUAUCUGGAUCACGGUGUUGGUCUGCAUCUACGGCUGCUCUUCUGCAGUCAGCAGUUCGUUUCACUGCGUUACAAAACUACGUUUAACCCAACGAAUAUGUUUAGGACUUAUUAAUGAUUGAUUGAGCCCGUUUUCCUCUGUGUUGGCGUUCUAAUGCUCUUGAUUAGACGAAAUUGAGUGGUGCGACCGAAAAUGAUUGCUGGGUGCCGUAUGACAACCUCUAGCUACGUGGGAGGUUUCUAAACGACGCUGCUGCUUAACCACGGCUUAACUGCUGCUUAACCGCGGCUUAACUGCUGCUUUGCUGUUUAACUGCUGCUUUGAUGCUGUUUAAGAAUUUUUGGGGGAUGAUGCUGUUUUAAUGUAGUAAACAUCAGUUUCCCUACACAUUCAGUGCUAGGACCGUAUAUUUGAAGGUUGUGGUUGACCGAUUUGAAUGGUCCUUGUGUUCUUUUUUCUUUUAUUUGGGUAAUUUCGCCUAGUUUUGUUAGAUAUAUAUAUUUUUUUACUUUUGUGUUGGUUUCCUUGAAAUUAGUAUUUUCUAAUGUGAUUUCUUUCUGUUACAUUGUUUUUUUGUAUGCUUUAUUGAAAUUGUAUUUGUUUUUUUGUAACAGUCUUUUUGUAUGUAUAUUCAAGACUGUUUAACCCUUGUGCCUUCCUCUUAUAUUUUGUAGUUUUGGGUUGCUUCUUCAGCAGAGGGUUCAUUAAGAGGGGUUGUAAUCCAUUAGCAUUGCAGUGUGUUGUGCGCCCAAGUGAUUGUGUGUUAGAGUGUCAGUGACCAGUUUAUUAAAACUUUGUAGUAACUGGAUUUUGUGUUUUCAGUAGCAGAGCACCUAAGGCAGGGUGGAUUUCUGGUGGAGGUCUUUCUUGCACGUGUGCUGUGUGUAUGCGCUGUGUGUGUGUGUGUGCGUGUGU